CCCUGCCUUUUGUACACACCGCCCGUCGCUACUACCGAUUGAAUGGCUCAGUGAGGCCUUCGGACUGGCUUGGGAAGGUUGGCAACGACCAUCCUAAGCCGGAAAGUUCGUCAAACUCGGUCAUUUAG
rnacentral:rRNA from 1 species